rnacentral:rRNA from 1 species
AGGACGAACGCUGGCGGCGUGCCUAACACAUGCAAGUCGAACGAGGUCCAACCGGUGGCAACACUGGUGAAGACCGAGUGGCGAACGGGUGAGUAACACGUGAGCAACCUGCCUCGAAGACUGGGAUAACCCCGGGAAACCGGAGCUAAUACCGGAUACCCCCACCGGGUCGCAUGGCCUGGUGAGGAAAUGGAUUCCGCUUUGAGAGGGGCUCGCGGCCUAUCAGCUUGAUGGUGGGGUAAUGGCCUACCAUGGCACCGACGGGUAGCUGGUCUGAGAGGACGAUCAGCCACACUGGGACUGAGACACGGCCCAGACUCCUACGGGAGGCAGCAGUGGGGAAUCUUGCGCAAUGGGCGAAAGCCUGACGCAGCAACGCCGCGUGUGGGACGAAGGCCUUCGUGGGUUGUAAACCACUUUCAGCAGGGACGAUUGUGACGGUACCUGCAGAAGACGCCCCGGCCAACUACGCGCCAGCAGCCGCGGU